AGAGUUUGAUCAUGGCUCAGAUUGAACGCUGGCGGCAUGCUUUACACAUGCAAGUCAAACGGCAGCGGGGGCUUCGGCCUGCCGGCGAGUGGCGAACGGGUGAGUAAUGCAUCGGAACGUGCCCAGUCAUGGGGGAUAACUACGCGAAAGCGUAGCUAAUACCGCAUACGCCCUGAGGGGGAAAGCGGGGGAUCUUAGGACCUCGCGUGAUUGGAGCGGCCGAUGUCGGAUUAGCUAGUUGGUGGGGUAAAGGCCUACCAAGGCGACGAUCCGUAGCGGGUCUGAGAGGAUGAUCCGCCACACUGGGACUGAGACACGGCCCAGACUCCUACGGGAGGCAGCAGUGGGGAAUUUUGGACAAUGGGGGCAACCCUGAUCCAGCCAUGCCGCGUGAGUGAAGAAGGCCUUCGGGUUGUAAAGCUCUUUCAGACGGAAAGAAAACGCUCUCCCUAAUACGGAGGGUGGAUGACGGUACUGUCAGAAGNGGC
rnacentral:rRNA from 1 species